rnacentral:lncRNA from 1 species
CUCAUGGAAAGUCUGAAGUGUGUUGUACAUGGACAGACCCUGCUGUGCGCUCCUGCACAGGUGUGGGCUCAGGGCUGCAAUGGGAUCUGUUCCCACCAGAGUCUGUUUGGAUCUGCUCUGGAGUGCCUGGUCCGCAGACUGGCACUCAGCUGUGUUUGUGAUCUGCCUUUUGUGUAGGUAAGAGGGAAGGAAAGGCAAUCUUUACUGCCCUUUUUCUGCAUGGCUUUCCUUGUCUGAGGCUUCACCAGCUUCAGUUUAUUCAGUGGAUCACAGCCUCUCCUGAGCUUACAUGCUCCCACACUUUCUCCCUGAAAACUCUUUCCUCUUACUUCUAUGUCUUCCAGGCAGCACCUUGCAAUUCCUCCUGCCUUCCUAUCCUACAUCUUCCUUUGUUGCCAGCCUCUUGAGUGAUCCAAUUCAGCCACGGCCAAACCCUAAAACAUUGGUGUGCUCUGUGAUUUACAAAACACAUUGCCUCCAGUGAAUUCCUUGCUUGAUGUUUUCAGAGCCCUUUUGGGUAGCAAAGCAGCUAUACAUCACAGAACAGUUGUGUUUUUUCUCCUUUUUAUGUUUCAGGGGAUUGAGGGAUUUCUGAGUGUUCCUUGAAGCAGCUACAAGAGCUCAGAGCUGAGAAGAUGAGCUGGACUCAGUCACCUGAACAUGAGACCUACGAGCUGCCUUCCAGUCUGCAGGAACCAGGAGGGUCCUCAGUGACGAAUUCAGCCUGCAGUACUUUUGAAAUCACAGCCAGGUGUCCAAGGAGGGGGAAAGGAGGACAAAUGCCUCUUCCCACCUGUGCCACAACUCCAUGGUCUGCCUGGACCAUGGUACACACCAAAGGCUCUCCUGACCAUGGGGUGAGCACCAAGCAGGCGCCUGCAGCUCCCUUGCCCUCCCCGUGUGUCACAAUGCUCAAGGACAUCAGGCGCACAUCUGGUGUGCCCGGCGUGUGACAGGGAGGGAGUCCCCGUGGCACAGCUGGGGCUUUGUGUCUGCUCACAGGCAGAAUGCCUGGCCCUGCUGCAUGCCACCUCCCCAGCUGGAGCUCAGCGCUGGGAACGCUGUCUCCCCAAGACUCCACAUGUCAGAAACAACGCACCUCAUCGCUCAUCACCCAUCUGGGUCUGGUCUGUGGGUGCUGGAAAAUAGAGAGGCUUUUUGCUGGGAAUGUGGGAGAGUGAGGCAAAGGAGGAAGGGAGUUGUCUGAGACUCACAUGUUGCAGGGGUGGGGCUGUGUUCAAACAGUCCUGGCUGUGCAAUUGUGUGGAAAACAGACACAGACUGCUUCUGUGAGUGGUCCCAGUGCACCUAAAAUGUAUUUGGUGGCAAAAAAAAAAAAAAAAAUCAGAGGAGAUGAUGCUGUAGAUUAUAUUCCUUUUAAAUGUUUUCCUGAGGACUGAAAGGAAGAAGCUGUAUUGAACCAUAUGCCAGUGGUAUCUGUCCUGGCUUGUAAGAUAAGCACGUAUUCUAUUUGCCAUCUGUUGGAGGUAGGGCAGGUAUCUCCUGUUAAGUUGGGCAUUUUUCUUAUCUAUUCCAAGAACAGUGUCUGCCUCUGGGGAGAUAUCUUCUGUUAAUGGGCCAUUAAUGACUGCAUGACUGGUAAAGUUACAUUAUCCCAUUGUGAGAUGCUCCACCCAGAGGGAGGAGGCAAGCAUCCCUACCUGCAUAAAAUCAGCAUUUUUUGGGACAUCAAGGCAGCCUCUUUGCUGAAUUCCCAGAGGAGCAGCUUCUUCUCUGCUGGAUUCCCAGAGGAAGACCAGGCCCAUCCACUCUAUCACCAGACCUUCAGAGAAAACUACACCCUUCUACAGGAUCACCGCUUCAGCAGCAUUUCAUCUGCCACUCCAGGAGGAGCAGCCACCAUUUAACUGGACUAUUACCAACACCCUGACUCCUCAGGGUGUCAGGUUUCUGACUCUUAUCUGUAGUUUUGUUUGUACUAAUUACUUUUUU